UCCCUGGGCUAAAGGUCGAUGGAAUGGAU
rnacentral:piRNA from 1 species